AGCGGAAAUAACGUGUCAGGCUGACGGUACCUGGAAUGACAUUCCGACGUGUGUGGAAAAUGACUGCGGACGCUUAUCAAUUGCUAAUGCAAACGUUACCGUAUCUGAUGGAACAUUGCUGGGAGCAUCUGCUACAGUCGCCUGCAACGAUGGAUACACGUUAAAUGGACAAACCCAAUCAGUGUGUCUUUCGACUGGUUGGGAUCCAGUGGCAUCUUGUGACAUAAUAGAUUGUUUUGAUGUAUCCAUUGAACAUGGUACCGCUUCUUUUACGACUGGAACGACGUAUGGAGGACUC